rnacentral:rRNA from 1 species
AGCACCCGCGGUAAUUCCAGCUCCAAAGGUAUAUUAAAGUUGUUGCAGUUAAAAAGCUCGUAGUUGAUUCGGGGUUAGUAGGUCGGUCACCUCUGGUAUGUACUGGUCCACUGAUUCCUCCUUCCUGAUGAGCCGUAAUGCCAUUAAUUUGGUGUUGCGGGGAAUUUGGACUGUUACUUUGAAAAAAUUAGAGUGUUUAAAGCAAGCUAACGCUUGAAUACAUUAGCAUGGAAUAAUGAAAUAGGACGUUCGAUCCUAUUUUGUUGGUUUCUAGGAUUGACGUAAUGAUUAAUAGGGAUAGUUGGGGGCAUUAGUAUUCAAUUGUCAGAGGUGAAAUUCUUGGAUUUAUUGAAGACUAACUACUGCGAAAGCAUUUGCCAAGGAUGUUUUCAUUAAUCAAGAACGAAAGUUAGGGGAUCGAAGACGAUCAGAUACCGUCGUAGUCUUAACCAUAAACUAUGCCGACUAGGGAUCGGAUGAUGUUAAUUUUUUAAUGACUCA